rnacentral:rRNA from 1 species
UACGUAGGGCGCAAGCGUUAUCCGGAAUUAUUGGGCGUAAAGAGCUCGUAGGCGGUCUGUUGCGUCAGGAGUGAAAACUCGGGGCUUAACCCCGAGCCUGCUUCUGAUACGGGCAGACUGGAGUACUGCAGGGGAGACUGGAAUUCCUGGUGUAGCGGUGGAAUGCGCAGAUAUCAGGAGGAACACCGGUGGCGAAGGCGGCGAUCUGGGAAGAUACUGACGCUGAGGUGCGAAAGCGUGGGGAGCAAACAGG